GAGGGAGGCCCGCUACAAAAGACCUUUUAUACUUGGCAAAUGUCACACAGCUUAAACUAUAGUAUUGUGCUAAGCUUCAUAUGUUACGGCGAAAACAUGCAAACCUUUGUUGUAACUGCAGCUUCAACACUGAGGUGCAAAAAUGCUUUUCCCGCGGNAACGCACUAUAAUAACACAUGNUAGGUUCUCACAUAACACUGGUAAAUUGACCUAUAAAAUCAUUUUCGUGGUUGUGAGAAAUUCCAGGUGUCCACAGAACAUAAAUCACGUAAGCAUGGGUGCGUCAUCACAGCAUGUAUAAAAAGGCUGUUUNUGAAGCGUUCUCUC
rnacentral:misc_RNA from 1 species